rnacentral:rRNA from 1 species
CAUGCAAGUCGAACGAAGUCUUCGGACUUAGUGGCGCACGGGUGAGUAACAUGUGGGAAUCUACCUAGAGGUUCGGAAUAACUACGGGAAACUGUAGCUAAUACCGGAUGUGUCUGUAAAGAGAAAGAUUUAUCGCCUUUAGAUGAGCCCGCACUAGAUUAGUUUGUUGGUGAGGUAAGAGCUCCACCAAGACUACGAUCUAUAGCUGAUUUGAGAGGAUGAUCAGCCACACUGGGACUGAGACACGGCCCAGACUCCUACGGGAGGCAGCAGUAGGGAAUAUUGGACAAUGGGGGAAACCCUGAUCCAGCAAUGCCGCGUGAGUGAAGAAGGCCCUCGGGUUGUAAAACUCUUUCAUCAAUGAAGAUAAUGACAUUAAUUGAAGAAGAAGCUCCGGCUAACUCCGUGCCAGCAGCCGCGGUAAUACGGAGGGGGCUAGCGUUGUUCGGAAUUACUGGGCGUAAAGCGUAUGUAGGCGGAUCAAAAAGUUAGAUGUGAAAUCCCUGGGCUUAACCUAGGAACUGCAUUUAAAACUAGUGAUCUAGAAAUUAGUAGAGGAUAGUAGAAUUUCCAGUGUAGAGGUGAAAUUCGUAGAUAUUGGAAAGAAUACCAGUGGCGAAGGCGACUAUCUGGGCUAAUUUUGACGCUGAGAUACGAAAGCGUGGGUAGCAAACAGGAUUAGAUACCCUGGUAGUCCACGCAGUAAACGAUGAGUGCUAGUCGCUGGAUCAAUAGGUUCGGUGACGUAGCUAACGCAUUAAGCACUCCGCCUGGGAAGUACGGUCGCAAGAUUAAAACUCAAAUAAAUUGACGGGGGCCCGCACAAGCGGUGGAGCAUGUGGUUUAAUUCGAAGCAACGCGAAGAACCUUACCAGACCUUGACAUGGUGUGUUUGAAUUACAGAAUCGUAAUUCUUCAGUUCGGCUGGCACACACAC